CAAAACGCAACAACACUUUCAUUUCCCUUUUCUUCACUUUCACUUGUUUUUCACUUUCUUCUUUCCUUUCCAAUAUCACCCUUUCACUUCAUAUUCCUUUCUUCCAUUUUCAAUCACCGCUGCAUCAAAGUUUCUCUCCGAAAUCGAUGGAUUGGGGAAACGUUACCGCCGAAGAUCUCGUCGACGCUCUCCGCGAAGUUGAUUGGUCAUCGCCGCCGCGUCCUCUCUCCGAAUUCUUCUCCCGAUUCACCGUUCCAAGAUCUUCCUCCAAAUGGAACAGCCGUCUCAAAUGCAAUCUCUACUACUACAGGACCAACUACUUCAUUUUGAUUGUUUCUGUUCUCAUAUUGGGGUUUCUUCGGAGGCCGCUUGCUAUUGUGGCUGCGCUUCUUACAGCACUAAGCAUUGCCUUUCUAAAUGACAGCUUUGCAGGUACCUUUAGUGAGAAGGUAACAAGAACAGUAAGGCAAUUUUCACCUCAUUUAGCUGCCAAAAUGAGACCUCCGCUUACGCCUGUUAUUCGUGGACGUCCAUCAGCUAAGAGAGCAAUUUAUAUUUGUGGUCGGCCUCGUUGGGUGUUCGUCUUGAUAUUUUCUUCUGCAAGUUUCUUUCUAUGGUUUGUUUCGGCUGGUCUCCUGACUGUUUUAUGGGCGCUUGCUAUUGGUCUUCUUGCUACCAUCCUGCAUGCAAGCUUUAGAACACCUAACCUGAAAGCACGUCUAAAUACAUUCCGUGAAGAAUUUCGUGCUGUAUGGCGCAAUUACAGCGAGCUGUAGUUCACAUAAAAUUUGCUGGACCGGAUGUGAGUGCUUUCUUCCAUAACACAUGUAUGCCCUAUGCUGCAUGUUAAUGGGAACAAUUUCCUUUGAUUGGAUUGGAACUUUCCAGGGAGGCGGCCAACUGUCCAACAGAUUGUAAAUUUCAGAAUCGUGUUUUUGUAAAGUACACUGUUUUCAUUGUUUAUUAUAUCUUAGUGGAAGCAUUGGAAUAUUGAUACAUCCUGUAGCAUAGGAAUUGUCACCAUUACUAGUUUUCAGAAUUCUUAACUGCUGCGAGAAAUAGGUGAAGUAAGAUACUCUCAAUUACCUUUACGGUUCUUAUUUGUAGGUUUUUAUUUUAUUUGGUAUUUUGGUUUCUGUUUUGGUAAAGAUUACAAAUAUUGUUGAUUGCCUUGCA